UGAAUAACUAAUUUUGUUCUCGAUACGGAACGUACAUUGAAAAGUAUAAAGCUGGCGGGAUAAGAUCACAGAAUGCAUGGAAUGUGGUAUGAGAUCACGAAACAAGCACAUAUAGAGUAGGAAGAAUAUGAUCAAAAAUUCA
ensembl:ncRNA C16E9.8 ncRNA